rnacentral:misc_RNA from 1 species
GAUGAAGAACGUAGCGAAAUGCGAUAAGUAAUGUGAAUUGCAGAAUUCAGUGAAUCAUCGAAUCUUUGAACGCACCUUGCGCCCUUUGGCUAUUCCGAAGGGCAUGCCUGUUUGAGUAUCAUGAACACCUCAACUCUCAUGGUUUGCCAUGAUGAGCUUGGACUUUGGGGGUCUUGCCGGCCUAUGGGUCGGCUCCUCUCAAAUUAAUCAGCUUGCCAGUGUUUGGUGGCAUCACAGGUGUGAUAACUAUCUACGCUUGUGGUUUUCCAUCAGGUAACCUUCAGUGAUGGAGGUUCGCUGGGGCUCAUAAAUGUCUCGCCUCAGUGAGGACAGCUUUUUUGAACGUUUGAUCUCAAAUCAGGUAGGACUACCCGCUGAACUUAAGCAUAUCAAUAAGCGGAGGA